rnacentral:lncRNA from 1 species
UCAAAUUGUUCAACUGGUCAGAAUAUUGAACAAAUUGUUCAGUCAAAAUGUGAAAGUGCAAGGUGUUAAAAUAAAAUAUACUCACAAUCCUAUAAGACUUUAACUCCACUAUAAUGAUGUUAUUACUAAAUUUGUCUAUCAAUCUGUAUAGUUAUAUUAUAGCCAUUACUAUACUAAAGGUAAAAUGUUUUAUUUUGAAUUGCUAUAAAAAUGUCCAAACUAAGCUUUUAUAUAGUUUUUCUUUCGAAAAGGAUUUUAUAUUUAUAACAAUCAUAUAUCAUUUAAAAUAAUACAUCAUAUAUUCAGUAAAAUACGUGUGAAAUAACAAUAUGCUAUUGAUAAGUUUCCUUGGGGAGAUAACCUAAAAUACUAUUCUUUUGAAUAAAGAUUUUUUGAAACCAAAAAAGAUUAUCUCCCCUUCCUACAAACAUAUUACAAUUUCACAAAUACUUUACUGAAUAUGAAAUGUUUUUAUUCACAUAAUGUGUGAUUCUUAUGAAUAUAGAAUACUUUUCGAAAGAAAAACUAUAUAAAAGCUUAGUUUGGACAUUUUUAUAGCAAUUAAAAAUAAAACAGUUCACCUUUAGUACGGUAAUGGCUAUAAUAUAACUAUACAGAUUGAUGGACUGAUUUAGUAAUACCAUCAAUAAAGUGGAGUUAAAGUCUUAUAGGAUUGUAAGUAUGUUUUAUUUUAUCACCUUGCACUUUCACGACUUGACUGUGAUUUUCUACAGUAGUUGGUUUGAAUUUCUGACCAGUUGAACAAUUUGAUUUAAUAAAACAAAUUGCAAUUUGGUCAAAAUUUUGAAUGAAUUGCAAUUGGUGGAUAGCAACACUUACAGUCAAGUCACUGUAAAAAAGAAGCUAGAGUACUCUUAGUUUCAGAGAUCUUACAAUAAGUAGUGACUCUUGAAUACAAAAAGUUUAUAAGGCCAAAAUAAACUUAAGGACAGAGUUGAUGAGCAUUGAGGACCCCAAAUAACAGUGGCGGAUCAAGAAAUUUCCAUAAGAGGGGGCCCACUGACUGCCUAAGAGGGGGCCGCUCCGGUCAUGCUUCAGUGAUUCCCUUUAUAAGUAAUUUUUGCCCAAAAGGGUGGGCCUUGGCCCCCUGCCCUCCCCCCCUAAAUCGGCCUCUGAAUAAUGAAAUUCCUAAAAGUUUUGCCAAUUACAAUUAAGGUAAUCUACUCCUUGGGUAGAAGAACAUUCUUAGUAUAUGCAAGUUUUGUUUAUGCACAUUUCUAUAUUGUCGACAUUCCUUAAGUCAAUUAGUAGAUAGACUUCUGACAUUAUGUAUAUUACUUACUAUAUGUAUUGUGGAACCAUUUUUUAUUAUAAAUUAGCUAAUAAAUUAUCUAUGCAUUUAUUUUUAAUUUUUACACAUGUUAUAUAUCUAUUUGAUUAUAUGUUUAAUUUUUAUGACUUACUUUAAUAAAAUAUCAGAAAAUUGGUUAUUCCUUUAAUGUCUUGAUGAGUGCUGGGAAUCUAGAUAUUGGUGUGAAUCACUUUUUCUGGAAGCAUUGCCUGCAAAAUACUGGGAGAAAGCUGUCUUUCAGUUAUUUAUGCCAACCUCUGUAGGAUAUUUUCCAUAUUGGUGUCUACAGGUGACAUAUUUUCUUUCUCCUGGAAUCUGGCCACAAAUGUGGAGGGAUCAUUAGCUAAGUAGUCAGUGUUUUGGUAAUGACACAAUUUAUAACAAACAUUUCCUUUUAUUUCCAUCUAUAGAAACUGUUAAGAAAUAAGGGUUCAAACUUCCUCAGCAAGGUAAAUUAACUUUCAGAAGAUUUUAUUAUUCUGUGUAGGUCAUUUUGGUCAUAUAGCUCCUACAUAUUCAAGUAUUUAUACAUCCUUGGCUUUUAUUUUUUUUCGGUUCAAACAUUUUUUAUGAAGUUCAACCCAGAGACAAAAAAGGCUAUAUUCAAAUUUUGAAAUAAUUUUUUUCUUUAUUUUUAAGUUGGUAAGAAAGGUUCUAGAUUACUAUAAGUUUUAGAGCUACAUGUAUUACAGUAAAUUCAUCAUAGAUACAAGAAUUGAAAUUGUGUACACCAGUUGCACGUUUUGUCUACAAGACUCAUCAGUGACUCUGAAAUCAAAACAGUUAAAAGGGCCAAAUAAAGAACAAAACUGGAGAGUUUUGAAGACCCAUAAUUUCUUAAAGUUUUGUCAGAUUAGUUUAAUGUGGUUAUCUUUUUCUGGGGAAGAAAACCCUUAGUAUUUAAAAAAAAUCAAAGUUUUUUAAUGCUCUUUUCUGUAAUCCCUACAUUGCCAAAAGUCAAUUACUAGUAAUAGACUAGACAUUAUGUGUAUUACUUACUACUUUUAAUGAGGAAGCAU